GACUGGGCCGCCCCUGACGAAGUGACUCCCGGGCCGGGGAGCGGGGCCAGACCUGCGCCAGAGAGAACUGCAGGGAGCCGCAGCUCGGGGGGUGGCUUGCCCUGAGGGAGGGGAGGCAGCCUUUCCGCCUUGUCUUCCUUCCCAGCGGACCGGCGGAUCCCCGGAGCCGGUGCGAGGAGGGCACCCGGUGCGUCCCCGGAGCGGGGAGGCCAGGCCGGGCAGCCCUGGGGCCGGUCGGGGCGGCGUCACUGCACCCUCCGCCAGGCUCCGCGGGAUGCACCGUGGUAGCCGAGGGCGGAGGCGACACUCUCAGGUAAAUUGGCAGGAUGAGGAGCAGCAAAUCAAAAGAGGUGCCUUUACCAAAUCCAAGGAACUCUCAAAGCAAGGAUACUGUUCAAGAUAUAACCACAUCGUGGGAUGCACUUUCUCAAACCAAGGCUGCUCUGAGACACAUUGAAAAUAAAUUAGAAGUAGCCCCUACAAGUACAGCUGUGUGUGAUUCUGUCAUGGAUACCAAGAAGUCUUCUACAAGUGCUACUCGAAAAAUAAGUAGAAAAGAUGGUAGAUACCUGGAUGAUUCUUGGGUUAAUGCUCCAAUCUCCAAAUCCACUAAAUCACG
rnacentral:lncRNA from 1 species